GCCUGUCCUUCCAUCCCUCGCGCCCGCUGUCCCUCCCCCUGAGCGUGUCCUGCCCCCUCUCCCCCGCGCCCCCUUUUUCUUAUCUCCUCUGUUCUCCCUCCCCCUUUCCCCGCCACCCCCUCGCCUCUCUCCGCCCCUCCACCCCGUGCGCUCCCCUCUCGGUUCUUGCACCUAGCCCCCCCCUCCUCUCAUCUGCACUCCCCACUGCAACAAUCACCUUUCAUACUGACGUGCGUGCUUCGUACACCUCCUUUCACCACCCUUCCCUAUCUAUUUCUCCCGGAUAUUUCCUCCCCCGCCCCGUACUUUAUUCACCCCUGCGCGGCUACUCUUUCUCUCCUCCUCAUACUACCUUGUCCGCCGCGCCCCCCCUCAGCAUGAUUUCCCCCCUCUCUCUUGGCCCGCCUUCCGCCGCCGGCGCGUUACCUCCAAUCCAAUGGUCCCACCCCNCUCCGUUGGGAACUGUUNCCACCACUCCGGCCGCAAGACGUGAGGAGGGAGGGCAUGAUNUAAGNUCAUCANGCCCUUUAUGCGNGGGGNACACACGNGCUACAAUGGGGNUCAAAAGGGGGNUAANCCAGGAGUGNAAGNNUAACCUNNAAAAACGCUUCUCAGUUCGGAUUGGAGUUUGCAACUUGACUCCAUGAAGCUGGAAUNGCUAGUAAUCGUAGAUCAGCAACGNUACGGUGAAUACGUUCCCGGACCUUGCACACACCGCCCGUCAAGCCAUGGAAGCUGGGNGUACCUAAAGUCGGUAACCGCAAGGAGCCGCCUAGGGUAAAACUAGUGACUGGGGCUAAGUCGUAACAAGGUAA
rnacentral:rRNA from 1 species